UUCCGGGUUGCCGGCCUGCGGCCUCUUGGGGCCUCCGAGCCGCAAGAAUUCCUCGAAGUUUUUCCUAGAACCUCACACUCUUUAAGUGCUCUCUGGGCGACCAGGAGGAGGCCUACUUGCCACAACUGCUGCUGGGCAGCUGUCUUCUGGAAUGUCGCGGGGCUGGGACCUUCCGCACCCCAGAGGCCCCAGCACCAUCGGAAAUACUGGGAGAGCUUGUAUGAGUGUUCCUAGCCCGAACUCAGGGCUAGUGUCUUUCAGGGCAGCGUUUUCAAAUGUGUUCUUUGUUGGUUUGGUUUGGGUUUUAAAUAUUUUUGAAGAUAUUUGGAUCGGUUUGGGCGAACGGCUUCAGUUAUAAAAUGAACGAGAGGGCUGGAGAGGGUAGAUAAUUUGGAAAAUGAGGAGAAGCCUUAUUCUUCGCUGUUAUCUGAUACAACCUUGUGUCUGGGCACACUUUUCUGUGAGACUCUAAUUAUUCUAACCAGCCGAGUUCGUUGAUUCGGUGUGCAAAAAAUCAUGAAUUGAAUGAUGUCAUAAAAUUCAAUACUGCUUUUUACAGUCCUGGUUAAGAAUUCUGUUCUUCAGUAGCCUUCAGUCCCAACAUUUCUUUUGUUCACAAAAAAAAUUUUUUUUCCUCCUGCAACCGCUUUUUUACAUACAAAUCUCCAAAAUCCUCUAUCUUUUCUCUCUUUUAUCAUCGGGUCAACCAAGUUCAUGAUGCCAGGUGUAGGAACGAACAAGUAUCCCACUUCUCCAAAUGUUUUCUUAAUCGUCUGUUAACCAGUAAAGAAUAUAGAAAUUGCUGUUAUCUAAACCAAGAAUGACUACUACCUCCAUAAUGGCGACCAUCUAAAAGAUGCUUCUUUAUGAUGUGGCUCUCAUCGAUCCCUGCAGCCUCCUCUCCUCAUCCCAGCUGUUUCCAGCUGCAGGCUUCUGAAGUUUAUGUUCUAACCAUAGUGGACAAAUUUCACUUUCCCUAAUGAGGCACACAGGUCGUCGUUGCAGUUCUGUCCUGUUCACAGUUUUCGUGCUCUGUACACAUCUUUGUACUGAGCAUCCUUGAUGGCUGUUACCGUGUGUAUUUCUUCAUACAUGAGUUUCCAGCCCACAGUAACAGUACCUGAACUUUGGUGGCCUUUUCAAUCCUAGAAGUCAAACUCAUUGUCAAAGGUUUUGCAUUGUAGCAAGCUAAGGCAUGGAGCUGGAAUUUGACCUAAGCUUUGUGUCUACUCCUUUCCCCACAGUAACUCUUUGAUGGUUUGCAUAUGCUUGGCCUGGGAAGUGGCACUAUUAGAAGGUGUGGCCUCGUUGAGGAAGUGUGUCACUGUGGGGGUGGGCUUGCAGACCCUCCUCCUAGCUGCCUGGGGAUGCUCAGUCUGUUCCUGGGUUCCUUCAGGUGGAGAUGUAGAACUCAGCUCCUCCUGCACCAUGUCUUCCUGGAUGCUGCCAUGCUCCUGCCUUGAUGAUAAUGGACUGAACCUCUGAACCUCCUCUCACUGAACCUGGAACUCUGAUUUGGCU
ensembl:lncRNA LOC120098329 uncharacterized LOC120098329